AAGAUUGAUGAUGAUGAUCUCAUUAGCUAUAUCCUGAAUGGACUAGACUCGGAUUACAAUCCAUUCAUAUCAUCAGUUUCAGUCAAGGACUCAUUGUCCUUAGGAGAUCUCUAUGCUCAGCUCCUCUCUUAUGAAG